CACAUGCAAGUCGUGCGAGAAAGUAUCUUCGGAUACGAGUAGAGCGGCGGACGGGUGAGUAACGCGUAGGAAUCUACCUAGUAGAAGGGGAUAGCCCGGGGAAACUCGGAUUAAUACCGUAUACCUCCUUUGGGAGAAAGAGGGCCUCUCUUUGAAGCUUUCGCUACUAGAUGAGCCUGCGUAAGAUUAGCUUGUUGGUGAGGUAACUGCUCACCAAGGCUACGAUCUUUAGCUGGUCUGAGAGGACGAUCAGCCACAUUGGGACUGAGACACGGCCCAGACUCCUACGGGAGGCAGCAGUGGGGAAUAUUGGACAAUGGGCGCAAGCCUGAUCCAGCCAUACCGCGUGUGUGAAGAAGGCCUUCGGGUUGUAAAGCACUUUAAGCAGGGAGAAAAAGUUGUAAGUUAAUACCUUACAACCGUGAUGUUACCUGCAGAAUAAGCACCGGCUAAUUCCG
rnacentral:rRNA from 1 species